ACAACUUCUCAAAGCUGAAUUUGAUCAUCUCUAUACCAAUGUAAAUGUAUGCAAUCAUAUCGAAGAAUAGGCCUUCAAAGGCCAUUGAUACUGGAAGUAGUUGACUGCACAAAGUGAUGAACUGCCAACAAUAUAAGCUAAUUUUACACCAGUUCUCUUUAACAUCGCAUAUUGGAUAAGUGUGAAACAAAACGUGAGGAUCGGAAAUGGAAAAAGUCUCUGUAAACAACCGCCUUUCUCUCAACUUCAGGACCUAACACAUCGAGCUUCCAGAGGGCUUCAAUUUUGCUCAACACCACAUUCAAAUGGUCUCUGUUCCAGACCAUGCACAACAUCUUUGCAAAUCCCUGAAAAAAGAUGAAAAAACAACAGCUUUACCAUAGUGAGAAUAUUUUCCCAAUUUAAGACCAAUUCCAUACCCAUGACGAUAUUAAGGCAGGUGACAUUAAGCACCGUGAAGAAUUUUCGUAUUUUACUGAAGGUGUUAAUUUUUCUUGGAUGUAUUCCUGUUAAGUACAUCGCCAUCAACGUCAUCUCCAAUGAACGGUUAAAAGUUGCUUCAGGCAUGUCUAGAUUCGAAAUGGAGAAGAAUCGAAGAUUUAUUGGCAUUUAAGUGAAUUGCUUCAAUUUCAUUGAAACUAGGCACAAUCAUUACAACUUUUCAAUUGCUCAAUUAGGAACUGCAAUUUGCUAUUCAAGCUUACCUCAAGAUUAAGUUAUGUUGAUCGACGAUCAUUCGAAUAUUAGCUUUGACUACAGGAUCGUUCUUUACCGAAACGAGCAACAACUUGUCAAAGCUGAAAUUGAUCAUCUCCAUACCAAUGUAAACGUAUGCAGUCAUAUCGAGGAAUCGGGCUUCAAAGGCUAUUGAUACUGAAAGUAGUUGACAGCACAAAGUGAUGAACUACCAGCAAUACAAGCUUAUUUUACACCAGUUCUCUUUAAAAUCGCAUAUAGGAUUUAUGUACAACAAAACUUUA